UACGGAGGGGGCUAGCGUUGUUCGGAAUUACUGGGCGUAAAGCGCACGUAGGCGGCUUUGUAAGUUAGAGGUGAAAGCCCAGGGCUUAACCCUGGAAUUGCCUUUAAGACUGCAUCGCUAGAAUCGUGGAGAGGUAAGUGGAAUUCCGAGUGUAGAGGUGAAAUUCGUAGAUAUUCGCAAGAACACCGGUGGCGAAGGCGGCCAACUGGACCAUUACUGACGCUGAGGCGCGAAAGCGUGGGGAGCAAACAGG
rnacentral:rRNA from 1 species